UGUCCAAUGCGGGAAUCGAACCCGGGUUGUAGUGGUCGAAAACCAAACGGUUUAACCACUUUCCACCUAACCCAAAUAAGAC
rnacentral:tRNA from 1 species